rnacentral:rRNA from 1 species
GACGUGACUUCAGAGUUUGAUCCUGGCUCAGGAUAAACGCUGGCGGCGUGCAUAACACAUUCAAGUCGAACGGACUGAUUCGGAAGCUUGCUUCUGAUGAAAGUUAGUGGCGGACGGGUGAGUAACGCGUGAGCAACCUGCCUAUCAGUGAGGAAUAACGUUUGGAAACGGACGCUAAUACCGCAUGAUGCAUGAGGUUCGCAUGGAUUUCAUGUCAAAGAUUUAUUGCUGAUAGAUGGGCUCGCGUCUGAUUAGCUAGUUGGAGAGGUAACGGCUCCCCAAGGCGACGAUCAGUAGCCGGACUGAGAGGUUGAACGGCCACAUUGGAACUGAGAUACGGUCCAG